rnacentral:rRNA from 1 species
GACGAACGCUGGCGGCGUGCUUAACACAUGCAAGUCGAACGGAAAGGCCCUGCUUGCAGGGUACUCGAGUGGCGAACGGGUGAGUAACACGUGGGUGAUCUGCCCUGCACUUCGGGAUAAGCCUGGGAAACUGGGUCUAAUACCGGAUAGGAGCCAUUUUUAGUGUGAUGGUUGGAAAGUUUUUUCGGUGUAGGAUGAGCUCGCGGCCUAUCAGCUUGUUGGUGGGGUAAUGGCCUACCAAGGCGGCGACGGGUAGCCGGCCUGAGAGGGUGGACGGCCACCUGGGGACUGGGAUACGGCCCAGACUCCUCCGGGGGGCAGAGGGGGGGAAUUUUGCAAAAGGGGGGGAAGCCUGAUGCAGCGACGCCGGGGGGGGGAUGACGGCCUUCGGGUUUUAAACUCCUUUCGCUGGGGACGAAGCUUUUUGUGACGGUACCUAGAUAAGAAGCACCGGCUAACUACGG